CCAACUGCGCUCGCCUCGUGCACGCAGGCACGCAUGCGGAGGUCAACCUUCUCUGCUCAGCGCGACGCGCAACACCGAGGCGGUAGUGCGCACAGCAGCACCAGCAGCAACAACAACGGUGCUAAGUCGAGUCCAGGCGCCGCUGCUGCAGCCUCGCUGAAUGUGUGGGCACGCGCUCGUCUCCUCGACUCCACUGCGCAGAUACUCGCAGCGCAGCCGGCAGACCCGCUGCGUGUCCUGAGCGUUCGCUUCUCUACGGAAGCCGUCCUGGCCGCCACUUACCCCACAACGUCUGCGCCGACGAGGGAAAGAGAGUUGGAGGCGGAAGCGGGUCGCGUGAUCGGUGCACCGUCGGCACCAGGGGCAGCGAAAUCUACCGCGUUCAAUAAUGGUUCCGAAAAGCCGAACCUGUCGAUUGUCACCAACGACCGUAACGCGUCCGUACCUACAGUGGAGCACCUGAUAGAGCAAAGCUGGGUAAGGCGACGCCUGCAACCGUACGGCCUGCACGCAGUGGCGCGGUGUGCGUGCGCGUGUCCGCCGCUGCGUCCCCCGCCUGCCGCCCCGAGUCGCUUUGCGGUAAGCACGUCACCGGUGGGCAGUGCGGAAGGUCUCGAUACCGCUACCGCCAGAGCUGCGUACGCCAUGUCGUCACCUCGGCUUCCGCAGUGGAUGGACAUGUUUGCCUUGCUGCAUCGGCAGAGUCGCAUGUCCUAUGUUGAACUCGCUGCCGAAGCCAAGCACUGGGACGCCCAAUCAUGCAGUGCAGCUGUUAUGCCGCCAGUCGACUACAGCGCCGCUGAAGAGAUUCCUGCCUCGGCAGUGCUUCUGUGUGUGAUGGCGGUCAUUGAAGAGCACCUGCGCCGUGCAGAGUGUGGCGGGAGAACAAGUGGUGCUGAGAAACCGCCUCGGCUGUGCCGCCGCCUCCAAAUCUCAGUGAAGCUGCUGGCGCUGCAGCUCCUGGCAGCCUUCAUGGAUCUCCAGCACAACGCCGAGAGCACCCAGUGUAGCAGCAACAGCAGCAGCGCGAGUGCCUUAGAUCCAGGACAAGAGGACGAAGUCCAGGAGAGCAGCCAUGAUGACAGGAACACCACAACAGGGGACGCUGAUGUCUGUCACAUUACACGCGGCGUUUAUCUCCUGACCGUCCAUCAGCUUGAUGAACUUCAUCACUGGCUGCACUGCUGUUUGCGGGAGAUGAUCGUUUCGCCCCUCUCACCGCACACGGCUGGCACAGCUGCCGUGGAUGGAAGAGACGGCUGUGGUACCAGGAGCGGUGAGGCGGACGAUCUCAAUGCCGGGUCACCGCUGGAAGCCCUUAAGUCACGGGCCACAGCGUACUUGACCCGCGUUCUCGGGAGCCCUGCGCAUGGCAUGGCAGCGUCGGCGAGCAUGCUGGGCGUGGUGUCUCUGGAUACCUUCGUUGCCUUCAUGGAGCGCCUGGCCGCCGUUGUUGUGGCCCAUCAGCAAACAGCAGUCGCUAUGGCGAUCGCUCUCUCUGCUCGGUUGCCACCGACAGCCACGGCCUCAGCAGGAGAGGCACAACUACCAGCAUGGGUAAUGGAACAUGUCAGCAAGUGUGCUGAUGCCGUUGUGCAACAACAGACGAUUCUGCAAGAUGGCUCCAUGCCGGAUCCAAUCGCCUCUACGGUGCCGCUGGCGUGGAGGGUGUACGUAAACCAUAUCUCUGAGCUUCUGGCACCCUUCCAGCGCGACGUUCUGGCGCACGUUUGUCGCGAACAGCAAGAAGAGGAAAACCACCGCGGCACCUUGAAUGAUGGCAUCUUGCGCAAACUCCAACGACGGCUCCUGUCAUGGGCGACAGAGGCGGUGCACCGCCAUGUCAAGGUUCGGAAAAGGCUCACAGCGGACGACUUUUCUCCCGCAGUGGUGGCAGCUGAGGUCGUGGGUGCGUGGGUAUCGCAUGUAUUCGAAGCCUAUACCGUCACCCUCUAUCCGAAUUGAGUAAGAGGUGCCCGCAUGCAAACAUACAUCCACAUCCGCACAGACACACACGCACACACGCUUUGGAUCCAGGCCACGGUGUGACCCCCUCUCCCCACCGCCGGCCCGCUCCUUUCGAGCCGACGCUUUUAUGUGGCUCAUCCAUCUCACCGUGAACUUCGUCGAUAACCAAAAGCGAACAGAAAACU
rnacentral:misc_RNA from 1 species